rnacentral:lncRNA from 1 species
AUAGGUUUGGUUCUGGCCUUUCUGUUAACUCUUAGUAAGAUUACACAUGCAAGUAUCACCAUCCUAGUGAAAAUACCCUCUAAAUCAUUAUGAUCAAAAGGAGUAAGAAUCAAGCACAGACAAAUGCAGCUCAAAACACUUUGCUCGGCCACACCCCCACAGGAAGCAGCAGUGAUAAACCUUUAGCAAUAAACGAAAGUUUAACUAAACUAUACUAACACCCAGCGUUGGUUAAUUUCAUGCCAGCCACCGCAGCCAUACGAUUAACCCAAGCUAAUAGAACCCAGCUUAAAGAGUGUUUUAGAUCUGUUCUCAAUAAAGCUAAGCUUCAUCUAAGUUGUAAAAAACCCUAGCUGAAAUAAAAUAAACUACGAAGGUGAAUUUAAUAUUUCUGAGGACACAAUAGCUAAGACCCAAACUGGGAUUAGAUACCCCACUAUGCUUAGCCCUAAACUCCAAUAGUUAAAUCAACAAAACUAUUCACCAGAACACUACAAGCAAUAGCUUAAAACUCAAAGGACUUGGCGGUGCUUUAUAUCCCUCUAGAGGAGCCUGUUCUAUAUAUUGAUAAACUCCAAUUUACCUCACCACCUCUUGCUCAGCCUAUAUACUUCC